rnacentral:sRNA from 1 species
UAAGACUGAAAUUUUGUAGCAAACUAUAAU